rnacentral:rRNA from 1 species
GCGUGCUUAACACAUGCAAGUCGAGCGGUAAGGCCCUUCGGGGUACACGAGCGGCGAACGGGUGAGUAACACGUGAGUAACCUGCCCCUGACUCUGGGAUAAGCCCGGGAAACCGGGUCUAAUACCGGAUAUGACUCCUGCUCGCAUGGGUGGGGGUGGAAAGGUUGGUUUUCCUUCCGGUCGGGGAUGGGCUCGCGGCCUAUCAGCUUGUUGGUGGGGUGACGGCCUACCAAGGCGAUGACGGGUAGCCGGCCUGAGAGGGCGACCGGCCACACUGGGACUGAGACACGGCCCAGACUCCUGCGGGAGGCAGCAGUGGGGAAUAUUGCGCAAUGGGCGGAAGCCUGACGCAGCGACGCCGCGUGGGGGAUGAAGGCCUU